AGUGGCGGACGGGUGAGUAACGCGUAAGAAUCUAACUUCAGGACGGGGACAACAGUUGGAAACGACUGCUAAUACCCGAUGUGCCGCGAGGUGAAACCUAAUUGGCCUGAAGAAGAGCUUGCGUCUGAUUAGCUAGUUGGUGGGGUAAGAGCCUACCAAGGCGACGAUCAGUAGCUGGUCUGAGAGGAUGAGCAGCCACACUGGGACUGAGACACGGCCCAGACUCCUACGGGAGGCAGCAGUGGGGAAUUUUCCGCAAUGGGCGAAAGCCUGACGGAGCAACGCCGCGUGAGGGAGGAAGGUCUUUGGAUUGUAAACCUCUUUUCUCAAGGAAGAAGUUCUGACGGUACUUGAGGAAUCAGCCUCGGCUAACUCCGUGCCAGCAGCCGCGGUAAUACGGGGGAGGCAAGCGUUAUCCGGAAUUAUUGGGCGUAAAGCGUCCGCAGGUGGUCAGCCAAGUCUGCCGUCAAAUCAGGUUGCUUAACGACCUAAAGGCGGUGGAAACUGGCAGACUAGAGAGCAGUAGGGGUAGCAGGAAUUCCCAGUGUAGCGGUGAAAUGCGUAGAGAUUGGGAAGAACAUCGGUGGCGAAAGCGUGCUACUGGGCUGUAUCUGACACUCAGGGACGAAAGCUAGGGGAGCGAAAGGGAUUAGAUACCCCUGUAGUCCUAGCCGUAAACGAUGGAUACUAGGCGUGGCUU
rnacentral:rRNA from 1 species